AGGGAGGAAGGUAGUGUAGUUAACACCUGCACUAUUUGACGUUACCUACAGAAGAAGCACCGGCUAACUCCGUGCCAGCAGCCGCGGUUAAUACGGAGGGUGCGAGCGUUAAUCGGAAUUACUGGGCGUAAAGCGCAUGCAGGCGGCCUGUUAAGUCAGAUGUGAAAGCCCCGGGGCUUAACCUCGGAAUUGCAUUUGAAACUGGCAGGCUAGAGUCUUGUAGAGGGGGUAGAAUUUCAGGUGUAGCGGUGAAAUGCGUAGAGAUCUGAAGGAAUACCAGUGGCGAAGGCGGCCCCCUGGACAAAGACUGACGCUCAGACUGCGAAAGCGUGGGGAGCCAAACAGGAUUAGAUACCCCUGGUAG
rnacentral:rRNA from 1 species